rnacentral:lncRNA from 1 species
GUUGAUUUUAUUCAUUUAAUGGUUCGAUUGUUGAUAAAUCAUUUUCAUGAGUCUAUUUAUUUGAACUUGUUAAACUCGAGUUUCAAUCAUACAACAACCAACACCAGUUUCUGUUGGUAUUGAACCGUUGGGUUCUUAUCAAUGCAAAAUGAACCUACAUUCACGUAAUCUGAAUAGGUUUUGAUUCAAUUACGUGCUCAUUCAUUUUGGUAUUAUUCGGACU